rnacentral:lncRNA from 1 species
AAAUUAUAGGAGUUUUAAGUAAAUACACUUUCCAGACUAAUUUCCUUUAACCUGCAAUAAGCUGAAAAGUCAUUACAUGUUCUCUGUAUUGGUUCACACAAACAUUUGUAAUAACUUUGCUCAGAAACUUAAUAAAAAUUCAUGAGAAAACUGACUGGUUUUGGUCAGUACAGAAAGUUUGAUCUCAUGGAGCCAGACAGUGGCCUUUGAUUAGCUUCUAUAAGAGGAGAAAAAAAAAAAAAAAAAAAGUGUCCUAUCUUGCAUUCCUAUUGUGGUUUAACCCAACAGGUGGCUCAACACAACUCAGUUGUUCACUCAUUCCACAGACUUUAUUAAAAUGAAAUUAUAUGUCACAGUAGUACAAACUAAAUUUUGCUAAAAGAAUAGCAUUAUGUUAGUGCUGUUUUAGGGUAAAUCAGAAAGAAAAUUCAAUUUGUGAUCUAUGCUAAUUGAUUUAUUUG